rnacentral:rRNA from 1 species
AGUGAACGCUGGCGGUAGGCCUAACACAUGCAAGUCGAACGGCAGCACAGUAAGAGCUUGCUCUUACGGGUGGCGAGUGGCGGACGGGUGAGGAAUACAUCGGAAUCUACUUUUUCGUGGGGGAUAACGUAGGGAAACUUACGUUAAUACCGCAUACGACCUACGGGUGAAAGCAGGGGAUCUUCGGACCUUGCGCGAUCGAAUGAGCCGAUGUCGGAUUAGCUAGUUGGCGGGGUAAAGGCCCACCAAGGCGACGAUCCGUAGCUGGUCUGAGAGGAUGAUCAGCCACACUGGAACUGAGACACGGUCCAGACUCCUACGGGAGGCAGCAGUGGGGAAUAUUGGACAAUGGGCGCAAGCCUGAUCCAGCCAUACCGCGUGGGUGAAGAAGGCCUUCGGGUUGUAAAGCCCUUUUGUUGGGAAAGAAAAGCAGCAGGUUAAUACCCCGCUGUUCUGACGGUACCCAAAGAAUAAGCACCGGCUAACUUCGUG